AAGGAUCAUUACCUAGAGUUUGUGGGCUUUGCCUGCUAUCUCUUACCCAUGUCUUUUGAGUACUUACGUUUCCUCGGCGGGUCCGCCCGCCGAUUGGACAAAAUUAAACCCUUUGCAGUUGCAAUCAGCGUCUGAAAAACAUAAUAGUUACAACUUUCAACAACGGAUCUCUUGGUUCUGGCAUCGAUGAAGAACGCAGCGAAAUGCGAUAAGUAGUGUGAAUUGCAGAAUUCAGUGAAUCAUCGAAUCUUUGAACGCACAUUGCGCCCCUUGGUAUUCCAUGGGGCAUGCCUGUUCGAGCGUCAUUUGUACCUUCAAGCUCUGCUUGGUGUUGGGUGUUUGUCUCGCCUUUGCGUGUAGACUCGCCUCAAAACAAUUGGCAGCCGGCGUAUUGAUUUCGGAGCGCAGUACAUCUCGCGCUUUGCACUCAUAACGACGACGUCCAAAAAGUACAUUUUUACACUCUUGACCUCGGAUCAGGUAGGGAUACCCGCUGAACUUAAG
rnacentral:rRNA from 1 species